GAUGAACGCUGGCGGCGUGCCUAAUACAUGCAAGUCGAGCGAACAGACGAGGAGCUUGCUCCUCUGACGUUAGCGGCGGACGGGUGAGUAACACGUGGAUAACCUACCUAUAAGACUGGGAUAACUUCGGGAAACCGGAGCUAAUACCGGAUAAUAUAUUGAACCGCAUGGUUCAAUAGUGAAAGACGGUUUUGCUGUCACUGAUAGAUGGAUCCGCGCCGCAUUAGCUAGUUGGUAAGGUAACGGCUUACCAAGGCGACGAUGCGUAGCCGACCUGAGAGGGUGAUCGGCCACACUGGAACUGAGACACGGUCCAGACUCCUACGGGAGGCAGCAGUAGGGAAUCUUACGCAAUGGGCGAAAGCCUGACGGAGCAACGCCGCGUGAGUGAUGAAGGUCUUCGGAUCGUAAAACUCUGUUAUUAGGGAAGAACAAAUGUGUAAGUAACUAUGCACGUCUUGACGGUACCUAAUCAGAAAGCCACGGCUAACUACGUG
rnacentral:rRNA from 1 species